UACGGAGGUGCGAGCGUUGUCCGGAAUCACUGGGCGUAAAGGGCGCGUAGGCGGCGCGGUAAGCGUGCGGUGAAAGUCCGGGGCUCAACCCCGGAUCGGCCGUGCGGACUGCCGGGCUUGAGCACUGUAGGGGCGGGUGGAACUCCGGGUGUAGCGGUGGAAUGCGUAGAGAUCCGGAAGAACACCGGUGGCGAAGGCGGCCCGCUGGGCAGUGACUGACGCUGAGGCGCGACAGCCGUGGGGAGCAAACAGG
rnacentral:rRNA from 1 species